rnacentral:rRNA from 1 species
GACGAACGCUGGCGGCGUGCUUAACACAUGCAAGUCGAACGGAAAGGCCCUGCUUUUGUGGGGUGCUCGAGUGGCGAACGGGUGAGUAACACGUGAGUAACCUGCUCUUCACUUUGGGAUAACUUCAGGAAACUGGGGCUAAUAUCGGAUAGGAGCCCCUGCUGCAUGGUGGGGGUUGGAAAGUUUCGGCGGUCGGGGAUGGACUGGCGGCUUAUCAGCUUGUUGGUGGGGUAGUGGCUUACCAAGGGUUUGACGGGUAGGCGGCCUGGGAGGGUGAACGGCCACAAUGGGACUGAGGUACGGACCAGACUCCAACGGGGGGCAGCAGGGGGGAAUAUUACACAAUGAGCGGGAGCCUGAUGCAGCAGCGCCGCGUGCGGGAAGACGUCCUGCGGGUUGUAAAACGCUUUCGCCUGUGACGAAGCGUGUGUGACGGUAAUGAAUAAAGAAGCACCGGCUAACUACGUG